rnacentral:rRNA from 1 species
GAUGAACGCUAGCGGCAGGCCUAAUACAUGCAAGCCGAACGGCAAUCCCGCCAGCAAUGGCGGGACUAGAGUGGCGCAAGGGUGCGUAACACGUAUGCAAUCUGCCCACAACAGGAGGACAGCUCCCCGAAAGGGGAAUUAACCCUCCAUGGGACCACACGAGGGCAUCCGAGAGUGGUUAAACCAAAAGGGGUUGUGGAUGGGCAUGCGGUUGAUUAGCUGGUUGGUAGGGAACGGCCUACCAAGGCGAUGAUCAAUA